rfam:Eimeria mitis, Houghton, WGS project CBTT01000000 data, contig: Emh_contig350_1
GCGCGAGGCUCUUAACCUCGUGGUCGCGGGUUCGAGCCCCGUCGUCGGCU